rnacentral:lncRNA from 1 species
AUCACCCAUCUUCUGCGUCACUCAAGCUGGGAGCUGUAGACCGGAGCUGUUCCUAUUCGGCCAUCUUGGCUCCUCCGCUCUAUUUGCAGUUCUUAAAGGGCUAUUGUACUCUCUGGGAUUGUACGAACUUGGACUGGAUUGGAACUGCAACAGAAAAUCUUCCAGGCAAGUGCCAAAGACUUACAUACACAACAGGGACAGCUGAUGCCAGGCGCACACCUAUGGGAGCUCCUUCCACCCUCUGGGAGGCUCCUUGAGCUGACAAGUGUCCUGGAGCCCUGAAGAAACUAUCCUCACAGAAUGACCCAACAACAUGGGGCAGACACCUUUUGCACAUGGGCAGGGCACUGUCCCACUCAAAGGAUCAUUUGGAAGGUGGUAGGCAGGGGCCCCUCAGUGCGAGCGGAAUGGGGUGCCCUUAAUGGGAAGACAGCACAGCUGGCUGGUGAGGCCUGUGGUUUAGCACAACCCCUGAGCCCCCAACCAGGCUCCCUAAAUUUAGACCUGCAGGACGCAGGAGAGAGAUGUCAGUUAAAUAAAAUGAAAUCCAAAUCAGGAGGUAAUGCAAAAUACCAUCACCAUCACAAGCAGGCCACUUACUCAUAUCCUGUGACAUUCUGCCCCUCUCUCCAUGCCUAGAAAAUAAUAAAGCCAGUCCCCUUCCCAGAAAGCACACACGCUACAGAGCCAUUUCUCUGUGAUUGUCACUAGAAAUGCUAUUCUUUCCACUUCUUCGAUCUGCCUGAUUUAGUGACAGCACAAAUGAUAGAAUAAUUCAGUUGUGACAGGAGCUCACAAGGGGACACACUUGUCAAUGGGCCCAUCUGUCUGCUGCCACUCUCCAUCCCUUACAAUGCCCUGCUACUGAGAAUGAUACCAGCUGAAGGAAUGACACUCGCUCAUCCAUGUCCCAAAUGGGGUGAAGGGAGGCCCUGGAGAUGCAUGAACUGGUGCAUUAGUAGAAGAAACAGUCACCAGAAGAGCAAGUGACGACUCUAGAACUUUCAGAUCCCGGGGUAACUGCAGCUCCUCAUCCUGCUUGUGCUCUAUAAUUACAGAAAAACAAUAAAAUUGUAGUGUCCUGUG